rnacentral:rRNA from 1 species
GACGAACGCUGGCGGCGUGCCUAAUACAUGCAAGUCGAACGCAGUGGGGACGGGUGAGUAACACGUGGGUAACCUGCCAUAAGAGGGGAUAACACUUGGAAACAGGUGCUAAACCGAUACUGAUGGAUGGACCCGCGGGGCAUUAGUUAGUUGGGGGGGUAACGUCCGACCAAGGCCACGAUGCAUAGCGGGUCUGAGAGGAUGAUCGGCCACACUGGGACUGAGACACGGCCCAGACUCCUACGGGAGGCAGCAGUGGGGAAUUUUGGACAAUGGACGAAAGUCUGACCCAGCAACGCCGCGUGAGUGAAGAAGGUUUUCGGAUCGUAAAACUCUGUUGUUAGGGAAGCGGUAUCUAACCAGAAAGCCACGGCUAACUACGUGCCAGCAGCCGCGGUAAUUC